rnacentral:rRNA from 1 species
CAGGGAUCUUUAGGUUCGCGGACCGACGAAGGGCGCAGCAGAAGGCGAAGAGUGUUAGAGCAGCAGCGAUGAUAACACGUGCCUGAAGUAGCGAGAGUGAGACAACCCCUUUGAAUUAAGCAUAUGAGUAAAGGGAGGAAAAGAAACCAACAAGGAUUCCUGUAGUAGCGGCGAGCGAAGAAGGAGUAGCCCCGAGUGUAAUCACAUUAGUGAGAUGUCAUAGAAUCUAUUUAACGAUGUUGGAACAUCGGCCUGAGAGGGUGAUAGCCCCGUGUAAGAGAUAACGAGGGAGUAGCAGUGUUUGGUAUUGCACUGUGAACGGGUGGCAGCGCCCAUCCAAGGCUAAAUAUAACGCGAGACCGAUAGAGAAUAAGUAGAGUGAUCGAAGAAGGAAUAGGCUGAAAAAGUGAAAUUGCGCAGGGAGCCGAUUGAAUCGGCCCGUCUUGAAACACGGACC